CGCAGUGCGGCAGCUAAUACAUGCAGUCGAGCGGACAGAUGGGAGCUUGCUCCCUGAUGUUAGCGGCGGACGGGUGAGUAACACGUGGGUAACCUGCCUGUAAGACUGGGAUAACUCCGGGAAACCGGGGCUAAUACCGGAUGGUUGUUUGAACCGCAUGGUUCAAACAUAAAAGGUGGCUUCGGCUACCACUUACAGAUGGACCCGCGGCGCAUUAGCUAGUUGGUGAGGUAACGGCUCACCAAGGCAACGAUGCGUAGCCGACCUGAGAGGGUGAUCGGCCACACUGGGACUGAGACACGGCCCAGACUCCUACGGGAGGCAGCAGUAGGGAAUCUUCCGCAAUGGACGAAAGUCUGACGGAGCAACGCCGCGUGAGUGAUGAAGGUUUUCGGAUCGUAAAGCUCUGUUGUUAGGGAAGAACAAGUACCGUUCGAAUAGGGCGGUACCUUGACGGUACCUAACCAGAAAGCCACGGCUAACUACGUGCCAGCAGCCGGGCGGUAAUUAUUAUAUUUUAUAUUAACCGCCGGGUGCUGGGCCAGAUGCAUCAUGCGGUGAUUAAAAGAUGAUCAUGUUCAGCGCGUUAAAACACGCUCAGUCUUUAAUUACCCCCCGGUUGCUGCUGAGAGAACGGCCCUGGCUCAGGACGAUCGCGGGUGGCGUGCCUUAUACAUGCAAGUCGAGCGGAAAGAUGGGAGCUUGCUCCUUGAUGUUAGCGGCGGUUUGGUGAGUAACACGUGGGUAACCUGCCUGUAAGACUGGGAUAACUCCGGGAAACCGGGGCUAAUACCGGAUGGUUGUAUGAACGGCUUGGUUCAAACAUAAAAGGUGGCUUCGGCUAACACUUACAGAAGGACCCGGGGCGCCUUAGCUAGUUCCUGAGGUAAUGGCUCACCAAGGCAACGAUGCGUAGCCGACCUGAGAGGGUGAUCGGCCACACUGGGACUGAGACACGGCCCAGACUCUACGGGAGGCAGCAGUAGGGAAUCUUCCGCAAUGGACGAAAGUCUGAUGGAGCAACGCCGCGUGAGUGAUGAAGGUUUUCGGAUCGUAAAGAUCCGUCGUUAGGGAAGAACAAGUACCGUUCGAAUAGGGCGGACCUGACGGACCAACCUAAAGGCAACAAGCU
rnacentral:rRNA from 1 species